AACGAACGCUGGCGGCAUGCCUAACACAUGCAAGUCGAACGAGACCUUCGGGUCUAGUGGCGCACGGGUGCGUAACGCGUGGGAAUCUGCCCUUGGGUUCGGAAUAACAGCGAGAAAUUGCUGCUAAUACCGGAUGAUGACGUAAGUCCAAAGAUUUAUCGCCCAAGGAUGAGCCCGCGUAGGAUUAGCUAGUUGGUGAGGUAAAGGCUCACCAAGGCGACGAUCCUUAGCUGGUCUGAGAGGAUGAUCAGCCACACUGGGACUGAGACACGGCCCAGACUCCUACGGGAGGCAGCAGUGGGGAAUAUUGGACAAUGGGCGAAAGCCUGAUCCAGCAAUGCCGCGUGAGUGAUGAAGGCCUUAGGGUUGUAAAGCUCUUUUACCCGGGAUGAUAAUGACAGUACCGGGAGAAUAAGCUCCGGCUAAACUCCGUGCCAGCAGCCGCGGUAAU
rnacentral:rRNA from 1 species